GGAGGGUUGGCAGAGUGGAUUAUUGCAGCGGUCUUGAAAACCGCCGAGGGUAAAACCUCCGUGAGUUCAAAUCUCACACCCUCCU
rnacentral:tRNA from 1 species